rnacentral:rRNA from 1 species
UACGUAGGGGGCAAGCGUUGUCCGGAUUUAUUGGGCGUAAAGAGCGUGUAGGCGGCCUGACAAGUCUGCUGUGAAAACUCGAGGCUCAACCUCGAGAUGUCGGCGGAAACUGUCUGGCUAGAGUCCGGAAGAGGAGAGUGGAAUUCCUGGUGUAGCGGUGAAAUGCGCAGAUAUCAGGAAGAACACCUAUGGCGAAGGCAGCUCUCUGGGACGGUACUGACGCUGAGACGCGAAAACGUGGGGAGCGAACAGG